GUUCAAUGAGAAGUCUUUGCAAGGCAUGUGCUCUGAGCUGUUGCUGCCUCAUGAAUUUAGCUCAAUUGAGCUAACCAAACCAUGAAGUAACAGGACUUGUUGUUUGCUUGAAAGCCAAGGAGGUGGAGCUAUUUCUGAAAUAGCUCCAAACAGCUGGGUUAACAUUUUUGCAAGUGUAUAAUCCAUUACUAAAUAUUAAUUUGUUUUUAAGAUCUGAAAAGCUUUAAAGUAAUUUAAGAGUUAGAUCAGAAUUCAAUGGUACAAUUUGUUUUGGCAAUAGGGGACAUACCUGCUGACUUACACCAGCCACUAAGAGAAUGGAAUAAUUUCUGUUGGGUCUUUUAACCCCUUAAGGACACAUGGCAUGUGUGAUAUGUCAUGAUUCCCUUUUAUUCCAGAAG